UCUCCUUCACCACACCUAACCUCACCCCACUUCACAUGACCACAGACCACCGCCACCGCCACCGCCUCAGAUGGUAACGGCCACUGCAGCAAAUCGCCGCCGCCACCUCUUCAGAUCGCCAUCGCCACUGCUGCAGAGCACAGAUCAGCAUUUGGGAGGAAAGAAACGCCAGGUUCCUUGGUUUUGGUGUGUAGCAUUUGGGUUUGUAAACUUGUUUGGUGGCUUUCUUAUCGAGGUAUGCAUGUUGUUGAUUAUGAACUUAGUGUAGGUUCCACUGUAAAGGGGAUACGCUUUCUUGAGAAAGAAACUGAAAGCAGCUGAGCAAUGGUUUAUCAAUGCACUUAAGAGAAUAUAAAUGCAUGAAAAAAUUGUGAUAGAACUAUUUUUUUUUUUUUUUAAUCUUCUAAAUGCUUGUAUAUGUAUGUCUGGCUAUGUUUUGCUUAAAACUUUUAUACUGGUUCCUUGUCUUUAUGAAGCAAAUUUCUUA